rnacentral:rRNA from 1 species
ACGGAGGAUGCAAGCGUUACUCGGAAUCACUGGGCUUAAAGGGCGUGUAGGCGGAGUAAUAAGUUAGAAGUGAAAGCCUAUGGCUUAACUAUAGAACUGCUUUUAAAACUGUUAUUCUUGAAUAUUGUUGAGGUAGAUGGAAUGUCUGAUGUAGCGGUAAAAUGCGUAGAGAUCACACAGAACACCGAUCGCGAAGGCAGUUCACCAGGCAAUAACUGACGCUCAUCCGCGAAAGCGUGGGGAUCAAACAG